CACGUAGAAGACUAGUGUUAUUCAUCUUUAUUAGGUUUAAAGGGUACCUAGACGGAAAAUCAAGCCAUAAUAGGGACUAAUUUUCUAGAGUUUUUAUGAGAGAAGGGGCGAAUUUCCGGAGGAAAGUUGAUAUUUUGUGAUACUGGAAGGACGGGUAACGGCGAAGGCAACCUUUUAUGUAAAAACUGACGUUGAGGGACGAAGCCUUGGGUAACGAGAAGGAUUAGA
rnacentral:rRNA from 1 species